rnacentral:lncRNA from 1 species
AUAAACUACUGAGGACUUAUACGGAAAUGAUGAUUAAGGCCAUGGUAUAUGGGGUUUCGGGAAUGAUUCCUAUAUUUACGAAGUCUAUGGUGCUAAAAUAAUACAGGAGCUGACUGCUAGGAUAAACUACUGAGGACUUAUACGGAAAUGAUGAUUAAGGCCAUGGUAUAUGGGGUUUCGGGAAUGAUUCCUAUAUUUACGAAGUCUAUGGUGCUAAAAUAAUACUGAUGUUUUGCAAAGUUCUCCCAAGUCACCGCAUCCUUACUCAAAACAUGUCUUUAAAACCUGAAAACUUUCGGAAUAACACUGUUUUC